AGCAAUCAGCUGGGCCUGAAGAAAAGAUGAGGACAUUUUCAUCCUGAGGGAAAAAAUCCGCAGUUUCUUUGCCAGUGAUUGUACAGCGAAGCUUCUAUCUGCUAUGGUCAAGUGUAAAAACGCCAUUACUGUACUUACCAGAUUCGGGUCAGGGCUCUAAAGUGCUUCCACAACAAACUCAUACAACCGUUGCUUUAUGGAUCUUGCUUUGUGCAACCCAGAACACAAAGUUGAAGAGUCUGUCAUGUGCCCUUGCUCCCUGGAAACCAGUGCUCACCUCUUGCGGCCCACCGACAACACGGACUCCUACCCUGCCAGACCUGUCCUCGUUGGAACCCUGCC